UGCCCUAAUUUGAGCCUCAGCCUCCCCAAUCGCCUCCAAUCUCCAUCUCUAUUCUCUCGACUCUGAACUUGCCCCCUCUCUCUCUCUCUACAACUGUAAGUCUGUAAACUACAAAAUCUAGUGGUUUGAGAGAUGAUACUGAUAGAUCAGCUCUUGGGUGCGAGGCUCCUUCAGUUGAUGAGGUGGAAGAUUCAAGAUUAUGCAGCAGAGAUGAAAAGCUGGGAUUAGUAAUUUAGUACAGAUGUCCCAAGCUCAUCUCUUUCCGAUGUCGAAACCUAACCCGUCUGAAGCUCUGUGCUUGCCGAGAGUUAACCGACGCCGGCAUGUUGGUCAAUUGAGGACAUCAUUAUCCGACGCUCCUGAUCUCCCCGACUACAUCUCCAACCUUCCCGACGAGUGCUUAGCUUGCAUAUUCCAGUCGCUUGGCUCCGGUAAUCGGAAACGAUGCUCUCUCGUCUGUUGCCGGUGGUUUCAGAUCGAGGGACAGAGCCGUCACCGUCUCUCUCUCAACGCCCAAGCCGAUCUGCUCUCGGUGGUUCCGUUUCUGUUUUCGAGGUUCGAUGCGGUGACUAAACUCUCUCUGAAAUGCGAUCGCAGAUCUGCGAGCAUCGGCGACUAAGCUCUCAAGCUCAUCUCUUUCCGAUGCCGAAACGUAACGGUCCUAACCCGUCUGAAGCUCCGUGCUUGCCUGAGAGUUAACGGUUCCAUGGGAACCGAACCGGAACCGUACCAUUUCUCCGGUUCGGUUCCGGUUCGGUUCCAUGCUAUACGGUUCCGGUUCCAGUUCCAGCCGGAACCGUGUGCACCCCUAUUGUUGGCGACUCCGCCAUCAAACACAGUUAAUGGUAUGUUUGGUUGGAGGGAAGGAUGGAUUAGAGGGUAGCACGAAGGGAAGGGAAGGGAAGGGAAGGGAAGGGAAGGAUGGGUGGAUAAAGAAUGUUGACAUUCGUGUUUGAUUGAAGAGGAGGAGGAGGAAGGGAAGGAUAGGAUGGGUGGAUAAAGAAUGUUGACAUUCGUGUUUGAUUGAGGAGGAGGAGGAGGAGGAGGGAGGAGGAGGGAUGUUUAAUGGUAUUGUCGCACUGUACAAACUUUGGCAGCUUCAUAUAAAGCUUUGUAUAGUGGACAGUGUGUAGCUUUGUCGAACACUAAUAUAAGUUUUGACUUGAUAAUUUAGAUUUUAAAUUUAAUAAAAAAAAAAACAAAAAUGACGAGGACAAAGCUUUAUAAAUGCUGUUGAACCUGUAGCAGGAUACUAAAAAAUAAAUAAAAUUCUAUUCUCUAGUUUUUUUGGAAGUCUUUUAUUUAAUUUGUGGAUUUAGCACUUGGUUUGGUAAAUUAAGAAGUGUAAAUGAAUAUACAUAUAUAUAUGAACACCCGACCACCCCAUUAAAUGGAGGGCUUAUACAA